AAAAUGUUGGCAGCAGUCCUUUUGCGCCAAUUACUGUUUUUCAGGGCUAUCAUUUGCGCCAAAUUUUGUUUUCCAAAUGUAUCAAUUGCGCCAAUUUACCUGUACACAUAUUUAUCAUAAAUAUUAUUGAUAAAUAUAUAUUUAUUCUUAUUUUUGGCUUAAAAAGUAUCAUAUGUUCGGAGGUAUUUAGCCAUGAAGAUGAGCAUCUGGAGAGAAAUGACUAAAAAUGCAUUAGACAGUCAAUAUACAGAGAGAGUAUAAAACUUAUUGCUUUGCUGAAUAUUUAAUAAAGAUAUGCCAAUAAAGAAGAAAAGCUUUCAAUGAAUUGUUGCAUGUUAAUGUCUAAAUUAAUUAAAAUUUAUGAAAGCUUUUGCUGAUUAUGCUUUAGCCACAUAUGUUGAUGACACAGUGUUUUAAUUGUUCCAAUCAUGCGUAUGAACUUUAAAGUGAAGUUACAAGCUACUACACACUUUAAAUUUGAGAGUACCCAUGCAGUAGUAGUAAUUAAGAAGAAGAUAUGUUUCAGAAAAGGAAACAUUUGCCGUGUAAAAUGCUGGUUCCAAGUCCGAAUAAAGGAGUAGGGAAGUCAUUUUUCUUCUAAUUGGCGCAAUCGUAUGUUUAAUUUUUGGCGCAAAUGAUACCAUGUAAUUUUAAAACAUGUGGCGCAAACGUAGCAUUGAAGAAAAAAAGUUGUGGCGCAAAAGGACGCAUUUUUGGCGCAAACGGAUCUCCCCCAAAA
rnacentral:lncRNA from 1 species